GCUGACACAUCCCGGCCAAUCUCCAGCAGACCCUCCCUCCCAGACCCUCCCUGCCCCCCGGCCCAGCCCGCCCCUGAGGCAGCUUCAACAUGGAUGCUGUCCAGGAGAUGGGAGGGUCUGGGAGGGAGGGUCUGCUGGAGAUUGGCCGGGAUGUGUCAG